AUGUCCGUGGGAGAAUCCCUUGGUUCUCAUAGUCUGCAUUCGUUUGCAGAAUACUUACAGUAUCACAUUAAUUCUCCCGAAGCCAGUUCCUGCUUGACCAGCAAGCGUAAGUCUCUGAAGCCUUUCAACGUAUUGAAGCCAUUCAGUUUGAAGUUCAUGGCUACAGAAAAAUCAGCAAGGAAGGGUGGCAGACAGCAUAGAGGGGGAACAUCAAAAGAUCUACCUGAUGACCACGCAGAACUUUACAAGACUGAUCCUGAAGAGAAUUAUCAUCAACGCAAGACACGAAUCCAAUGGAUUCGACGCUAUUGGGCUGAAGAAUGGUUCAAGUACAAGUUUGUGACCAAGGAGUAUGCAGAGAAGAAUGCUAUCAAGAGUCCUUGGGGUGAUAUUCUCUAUCGAGGCCUUCAACCCAAGAACAGAGAUGAAGCUAUUGCACAGGGUUUCUAUCCCUGCAUGGUCCGAGGGCCUCAGCCUGCAAAUGCCGACCCAUCAUCAUUACUCUGGUGUCGUGAAGAUACUCUCUUCAAGCGCAAUUUCCAGCACGCAAAGGCUUCGGCCAAGGAAAACAAGAAGUCAUUGGGAUUAGACUUCAACCCUGGUCCCUCUGCUCCCCGUGCUGACGGUUCACGUGAUGCUGAUCCCAAUAUCAUCGGCCCCUUUCUCCAACCUUGA
rnacentral:rRNA from 1 species